AACGAACGCUGGCGGCAUGCCUAACACAUGCAAGUCGAACGAGACCUUCGGGUCUAGUGGCGCACGGGUGCGUAACGCGUGGGAACCUGCCCUUAGGUUCGGAAUAACUCCCCGAAAGGGGUGCUAAUACCGGAUAAUGUCUUCGGACCAAAGAUUUAUCGCCUUUGGAUGGGCCCGCGUUGGAUUAGCUAGUUGGUAGGGUAAAAGCCUACCAAGGCGACGAUCCAUAGCUGGUCUGAGAGGAUGAUCAGCCACACUGGGACUGAGACACGGCCCAGACUCCUACGGGAGGAAGCAGUGGGGAAGAUUGGACAAGGGGCGAAAGCCUGAUCCAGCAAUGCCGCGUGAGUGAUGAAGGCCUUAGGGUUGUAAAGCUCUUUUACCCGGGAUGAUAAUGACAGUACCGGGAGAAUAAGCGCCGGCUAACUCCGUG
rnacentral:rRNA from 1 species